CGCACACUCACGCACGCACGGGCUCGCUCCGGCGAAGUUUGCACGUCAAGCCCCCGGACUGGAGCCAGGGCGAAGUCGGAAAUGCAGCCACCUAUGGAGGAGCCGGCCGGCCGGCCCCAGGGCAGCGCGGGAGAGGCUGGUGCAGGGGGCACUUUGCCCUCGGCUUGCGGGCGGCCGCAGAGUUGUCAAAAGCAUGAAUGGGAAGCCGCCGCAGAGCGGACUCCGGGCGUGCAGGGAACCUUGGGCUAGCGGGGAAGUGCCUCCCAGGUGUCUGCCCAGGUGUCAGGACGAAGUACCGUGUGCACGCCACGCCGCCCACAUGUGUGCCCCCGACCCGCAAUUGGAAGUCACACUGUGCGCCUGGGGAACUUGAAUUCGUCCAGCAAAGAGAGAACAUGAGAUCAGUGUGCGAGGGAAUGGAGGAGAGUGAAACAAACCGAGAGAAGCUUUAACCCGUGUACAUAUUUUAGAGGCACCACCCCAAGUUUCUGGAAGUGAUUCAUUCACCCCAAAAGUAAAAAUCUGAUUCAUUUUUAACUUGAGUUGUUAGUCCUUCCCUCUUUAUGGUUGUCUUUUCUUGGGCAGGACGAGACCCUAGGGAUUAGGAGAAUAUAAGGAAUUCCUACAAAACAUGUUUAGAAAAUACUGUUUUCGGUCAAAUUUUGUUCACUAAAUUAAGCAUUGGCCCGCAAAACUUAGCACCCCUCCCCAACAUA
rnacentral:lncRNA from 1 species